CUGGGUGGUGAUGGCUCCUUGGUGGUGGUGGUCUUGGUCCUGCAGGAAUGAGCUGGAGAGAGGAGAAGCUGGGUUCUGUAUCCUGCUGAAGAAGAAGACUAGUACAAGGAUCAGAAUCAGAAAGCCAACCUGGUUGGAGUGGACGUGCGACUCCUACUUCUACGUGAGAUUGCCCUGACUUCAACUGUUCAAGAUGAGAGCUGCAUCCAAGCGCUUUGUGAAGUGGGUCAGUGCUGGGCUGUGACUGCUGCCUCAAGGAAGCCUGUUCUGAUAUCUCAACCUUCCUUAGAGCGAGGUUUCUCUUCAUCUCCAGCCUGUGCUUCUUUUGACCUAACAAACAGAAAAGCUGCCUGGGAAAAGAAGCUGACCCCACCUUGCAAGUGCUCCCUUUCAGCUAAGUUGGAUGGAAGGAGUUUGAGCCCUGCUUUGGAUGCUGCCUGAGAGUAUUAUUGUUGUCUUUUAAUUAUGUUCUGUUAAUUUAACAGCCAUUUAUUGACUGAAUGUAUUAGACAGCUGAAGUUAAUGGAUGUAUUGUUCUAAUAGUGGAAUAAAAUAAAACCUGUUGAAUUACCCUGAACUUGAA